UAGAGACUCAGAGCUGCAUAUCAAUAAGCGGAGGAAAAGAAACUAACAAGGAUUCCCUUAGUAACGGCGAGUGAAGCGGGAAGAGCUCAAAUUUGAAAUCUUCAAGGGUUUACCUUUACGAAUUGUAGUUUAAAGAAGUGUUUUCUGUUGGAGUUUCGGUAAAAGUUCUUUGGAAUAGGACAUCAUAGAGGGUGAGAAUCCCGUAUUUGACCGUUACUUUCAGCUGUGUGAUACACUUUCAAAGAGUCGGAUUGUUUGGGAAUGCAGUCCAAAAUGGGUGGUAAAUUUCAUCUAAAGCUAAAUAUUGGCGAGAGACCGAUAGCGAACAAGUACCGUGAGGGAAAGAUGAAAAGAACUUUGAAAAGAGAGUUAAACAGUACGUGAAAUUGUCAAAAGGGAAGCGUUUGACACCAGUGUUGUUUAGCUCGAAAAUCAAUUCAAAUGGUGGGAUGUUGUGUUGUAUUGACUUUAUCAGCUUUCUGCACUCUUUUUCCUAUCUUUUUUAAUGCACUUUUCGUUUAACAAGUCAACAUCAAUUUCUUUUGUUGUAAAAGAGUCAUUGGAAGGUGGCUUUCUUUUCGGAGAAAGUGUUUAUAGCCUUUGACUUCUGCAAUCGGAGAGAUUGAGGUCUGCAGCGUAGAUCCUUCGGGGUUAGAUACUUUUGUGCUAAGUUAUAGCCUCGUAUAGACAACUUGUUGACUAUGCUCAGUCAUGUAGCUUACUCGCUUGUGCUAUUUUACCUACGCUUAGGAUGUUGAACGCGCACAGAGUCUC
rnacentral:rRNA from 1 species